rnacentral:misc_RNA from 1 species
UACGUAGGAGGCGAGCGUUGUUCGGAUUUACUGGGCGUAAAGGGCGCGUAGGCGGUCUGUUGGGUCCGCUGUGAAAUCUCCUGGCUCAACUGGGAGGGGUCAGAGGAAACUGGCAGACUUGAGGGCAGCAGAGGAAGGUGGAAUUCCCGGUGUAGCGGUGAAAUGCGUAGAUAUCGGGAGGAACAUCAGUGGCGAAGGCGGCCUUCUGGGCUGGCCCUGACGCUGAGGCGCGAAAGCGUGGGGAGCAAACCGG